GCGGAUGAACUGUGGGUAGCGGAGAAAUUCCAAUCGAACCCGGAGAUAGCUGGUUCUCCCCGAAAUAGUUUUAGGACUAGCCUCAAGUUAGAUACCUGGAGGUAAAGCACUGAAUAGCCUAGCGGCCGAGAGGUUAGCGAAGCUUAUCAAACUCAGAAUGCCAGAGUAUUGAUGCUUGGGAGUCAGACAGUGUCAGAUAAAUGUCAUUGUCAAAAGGGAAACAGCCCAGAUCUACAGCUAAGGUCCCAAAGUCAGGUUAAGUGGAAAACGAUGUGAAGAUACGCAGACAACCAGGAUGUUGGCUCAGAAGCAGCCACUCAUUCAAAGAGUGCGUAAUAGCUCACUGGUCGAGCGUCUUUGCGCGGAGAAUUUAACGGGGCUAAACCUGACACCGAAGCUUAGGCAAUCCAGUAAUGGAUUGGGUAGGGGAGCGUUGUAUACGCGGAGAAACAGUAGCGUAAGCGGCUGUGGAGUGUAUAGAAGUGAGAAUGCCGGAAUGAGUAGCGCGAAUGCAGUGAGAAUCUGCAUGGCCGAAAGCCUCAGGUUUUUGGAGGAAGGUUCGUCCGCUCCAAGUUAGUCGGGAGCUAAGGUGAGGCCGGAAGGCGUAGCCGAUGCACAGACGGUAGAGAUUCCGUCACCACCAAAAGAGUUAAGCACAGGGACACAUUUGAAGUCUCAGAGCCGGGUGUUGGUUCCGGUAGAGAUCGAGGGAAGUUAGUACCGAAGUCUGGGAUGGAAGAUGGCGAGAAAAGCUGUGUGUAUUUCUGAGGUGCCCGUACCGCAAACCGACACAGGUAGGUAGGAAGAAGAUUCUAAGGCCAACGGGAGAAGGGUUGUUAAGGAACUCGGCAAAUUGACCCCGUAACUUCGGGAGAAGGGGUGCUCCAGAGAUGGAGCCGCAGAGAAUCGGCCCAAGCAACUGUUUACCAAAAACACAGGUUUGUGCUAAAUCGAAAGAUGACGUAUACGAGCUGACGCCUGCCCGGUGCUGGAAGGUUAAGAGGAGAUGUGCAAGCAUUGAAUCGAAGCCCCAGUGAACGGCGGCCGUAACUAUAACGGUCCUAAGGUAGCGAAAUUCCUUGUCAGGUAAGUUCUGACCCGCAUGAAAGGCGUAAUGAUUUGGGCACUGUCUCAACAGCCCGCCCGGCGAAAUUGUAGUACCGGUGAAGAUGCCGGUUACCCGCGACAAGACGGAAAGACCCCAUGGAGCUUUACUGUAGCCUAAUAUUGGGUUUCGAUGUUGCAUGCACAGGAUAGAUGGGACACUGGGAAACAGGAGCUUUGGCUUCUGCGGAGUGGCCGUUGGGAUACCAUCCUUGCGAUAUUGGAAUUCUAACCUGCGGCUCUGAAUCGAGUCGGGGGACAUUGUUAGGUGGGCAGUUUGACUGGGGCGGUCGCCUCCUAAAAAGUAACGGAGGCGUUCAAAGGUUCGCUCAGCUUGAACGGAAAUCAAGCAAAAGAGUGCAAACGCAGAAGCGAGCCUAACUGCGAGACUGACGGGUCGAGCAGUAACGAAAGUUGGAGUUAGUGAUCCGGUGGUAUGUGAGUGGAAAUGCCAUCGCUCAACGGAUAAAAGUUACCCUGGGGAUAACAGGCUGAUCUCCCCCAAGAGUCCACAUCGACGGGGAGGUUUGGCACCUCGAUGUCGGCUCAUC
rnacentral:rRNA from 1 species